CGACGCGCGUCUAAACGCUACUCGAUUUCGACCAAUUUCGACAGACCCCCCACCCCCCUGUCAAUUAUUAAGACAAUCGUCCAUUUGUUUCAAAUUGACGUUUCACUUUAAAGAAAAACUUUUUACAUGUUUUUCGUAGGGUUCGUUAAGAUCUAGAAGGUAGAAAAGUUUCAAUCUACGAUGUUCGUUAUUAUAGAAAAUCCACUCUGACUAAAUCCUCGUGAACUUUAUUUCUGUAAGAAUUCAAAUUUGUUCACUUCUCUUGCGAGUUGUUCUAUGACCUUUCGAUCCCUAGUAAUUGUACAGUAUCAACACCGAAGCUUUCGGAGCUUUAAGGGUUCAUCGGGAAUAGAUUAGCAGUACGGAGUAAUAACCAGCGCCACGUUUGCAUUUCCUCGAUAAUGGUUUCUCCCAUUAACGAAGAAAAAUUAGUUGCCGAUCAAAUACCGAUUAAAUUGGAUCUGAUUCAAUUUCAGCGAGCAUUAACGUUUCUUCUUUUUGCUAGACUCUCCUGCGCGCUCGUCCUCUUCGUCCUCUUCCACCUACCAAUUAAAACGAGCACAUCCGGUAUUUACAUAUACUACCCAAUCAGAAACAUCGCAUUAGAGCUCUCCAAAUACCUAAAACCAGCAAUCAAUAAAUUUACGUCCGACGGGGGUGCGCACGCACGCGCUUUAUUCGUGGUUGGAAGGAAAAUAAAAAUAAAAAACAAAAAGGAAAUCCAACCGAUGCAGUUGGCCUAGGUAGCGAUGGAACCGAGGAGUUUUCAAAUACUAUCACAGAAAACUGUAUACCUUCCACGCAAGUUCUCCGAUACCUGCCUCGACCAUUGGUCCCAUCACUGGUCUACAAAGGGUGUCGUUCGUUACUUGAAAUCUCUUACUAAUUACGUGUAACGAAAGAAAUUAACGAGCGGGAACAGCUUUGACGAAUAAAUGGCCGCGCGGAGCGGGCUCGUUACGGAAUGUUUUUUUUUUCUUUCUUUUUUUGGGGGAGAAAAACACGAGUGAAUCGGGGCUGGCUGCGGAUGAAAAGCGUUUCAGAGUCUGCGUAACCUGCUCUGAAGAGAUCGAGCAGAACGAAGAAACGAGACGUCCGCGUCCAAGGAAACGAGUGGGUUUUAAACGGCCACGGACGAGGGACGAGAGACGGGGGAAUAAGUUUAAGGACUCGUCGUAGUUUUUCACUGGGAAAUUCGCUGCUCGAUUACGUUGGCAUUCCUAGGAACGAGAUAUCCGCGAUUGCGGAUGUCGUUCAUCCCCCUACUCCCCCCGAAGUGACGAGAAUAAAGGCGAAGAAGAGGGAAGAGGGUAAAUCAAGAGAGGGAUUGUUUAUGGCACCGUGGCACAGAAUGCUCCUUUUAGCCUUGGAUCGCGAAAUGGGCGAGCUUUGGUAAUCGAGUCACUUUAAACAACAGCCUCGAGAUAAAGGAUAAGGGGCUGGAGGAGUGAUCAUUUUCUAGACGGUGGUUUUCGAUGGUAUCGGAACUGGAUUAUUCCUCUGCGGCUGGAUUCGAGAGGCUUUCGUACGCUUUCUACUCGUUUCUACGAUUUGAUCACUCAGUUUUGCUGUCUAAACAAUUCGAAUAGCUGUACAAUUAUAGAGGUAUGAUUAAUUGAUAAACUAAAAUAGAUAUUAGAGUUUGAUGGUUAUUUUAUGUAUCAUUCGCUUGUUUUUGUUUUUUUAUUUUAGAAAUUGAUCUUGUACGAAGGACAAAAGGUCCCAAGAACAAACGAAGGUCACUAUAGGGAGCUAAGAUUGUAUUUCCUGCUGCACGUUUCCCUUUAUUGGAAACAUUCACGGAGCAUGGUCAUUGGUCGGAGUCCUUGGAGGGUGCGCCACUGACGGAAGGUCUAGGCGCGAGAACGGAACGGAGACGGAGCAUUGUGUGUGCAGAAAGAAGCAGGGUGAUCGCGGGUUGAACCAGAAUAGAGAAACCACGCGCAGAAACAGGAAGAGGAACUACGAAUGUCGGGGAUAAAACGAUAGUCGAAUGUCUAGGGAGAUGGAGAGCGCUGGAAACAAAGCUGGAGUAGAAUCUCUACCGAGACCGAAGGACCGUUGAUCAAUAAUGGUAUAUCGAAUUCAAAGGAACAUUUUAACGUGCAUAAAUUAUUAUACAUAUAUACAUACACUUGUUUGUAAACUAUCCUAAUACAACCACGGUAGACACGUGUCGAUAAUAGAAUGAAACGAAAGAUCAAAAGUGUACGUAACAGAUAGUGACCUUACACUAGGGUUAAUUUUAAUGUAAAUUGUACGAAAAUCGAAAUCACGCUAUUUAGGUCUCAUAGCCCACAUUUGUGUUUUCGAGCUUGAUUAAAUAGCUCGUGUCUUUGAUUAUGCGUAAUUUCGGGGUUAAGUGCAACCCUUCAGCCGCAGGUGGCCUCUCUUGCGCAUGUAUCAGCAUGAAUUUGGUAUCUAUGUUCUCCGUGUACCUUUACAUAGCGAAACAGAAAUGAUUAUAUGUAUAGUAGAAUGCCUCCGAACGAUACUAAUACACUUUCUCUUUAAAUUUAAUUUCUCUUCUCACUUUAAAUUUCAAUACAAAAUUUGCCU